GGAGGCCACCGCUAUUGGAGUGCGCUUAAGCCAUGCGAGUCGAGAGGGUUCGGCCCUCGGCAUACUGCUCAGUAACACGUGGACAAUCUGCCCUGAGGUGGGGGAUAACCUCUGCGAAAGUGAGAAUAAUACCCCAUAAGUUUGGGAUGCUGGAACGCUUCCAAACUGAAACGGGAUUUACCGCCUCAGGAUGAGUCUGCGGCCUAUCAGGUAGUAGUGGGUGUAAAGGACCUACUAGCCUUCGACGGGUACGGGCGUUGGGAGACGUAGCCCGGAGAUGGAUUCUGAGACAUGAAUCCAGGCCCUACGGGGCGCAGCAGGCGCGAAAACUUCACAAUGCGGGAAACCGCGAUGAGGGGACUCCAAGUGCGUGCGUAAUGCGUACGCUUUUCUUCAGUCUAGAUAGCUUGGGGAAUAAGGGCUGGGUAAGACCGGUGCCAGCCGCCGCGGUAACACCGGCAGCCCGAGUGGUGGUCGAUUUUAUUGGGCCUAAAGCGUCCGUAGCCUGUUCGGUAAGUCCUUGGGUAAAUCAGCCGGCUUAACCGUCUGAAUUCCAGGGGUACUGCCGGACUUGGGACUGGGAGAGGCUAGAGGUACUCACGGGGUAGGGGUAAAAUCCAGUAAUCCUGUGGGGACCACCAGUGGCGAAGGCGUCUAGCUAGAACGGCUCCGACGGUAAGGGACGAAGCCCAGGGGCACAAACCGGAUUAGAUACCCGGGUAGUCCUGGGUGUAAACGCUGCGGGCUUGGUGUUGGAGGUCCUGCUAGGGCGUUCAGUGCCGUAGAGAAGUUGUUAAGCCCGCCGCCUGGGGAGUACGGUCGCAAGGCUGAAACUUAA
rnacentral:rRNA from 1 species